UGGUGUUUGUUUCUAUUUUUCUCAUCUUCCACCUUUACUUCGUACAUUUGCUUUGUCUUUGUCUAUUGUGUGUCUGCUAAGUACCAGGAAGCCUUGUUACAUCCUGGUUGGAAACAUGCUAUGAAUGUAGAGAUGGAUGGCUUAUUAGAUCGUCAAACAUAGUCUAUUACUGAAUUACCCCCAGAGAAGGAUCUUGUGCAGUGUUGGUGGGUGUACACUGUCAAGUAUCUCCCAGAUGGUUUUGUUGAACGACUAAAGGCUUGCUUGGUCGCCAAAGGAUAUACUCAGACGUAUAGCAUUCAUUAUUUUGAGACAUUUUCUCCAGUUGAUUGCCUUAACUUUGUUCGUGUUUUGAUAUCCUUGGCUGAUAAUCUUGAUUGGCUUCUGUUUCAACUUAAUAUAAAAAACACCUUCUUGUAUGGUGAUUUAGAGGAGGUGUAUAUGGAGCAACCUCCUAGGUAUGUUGCUUAGGGGAGAAUGCAUCAAAAGUUUGUCACCUUCACAAGGCCAUCUAUGGGUUGAAACAAUCCCCUUGUGCUUGGUUUGACAAAUUCAACAAGGUCAUUGGUAGUUAUGGGUUCACACAGUGAUUCUCUAAUUACUCUGUUUUUGUUUGUUGACGUGGAUCCAAAGUGGUUAUCCUGG